ACCAGUAAUUUUGAGGAAUCUGAAAAUUUCACUAGUGGUCCUUCGGUUUUCUCUUCUAAUAAGCCUUCUGUUUCAAGAGCCCAAAUUUCUGCCCCUCCUGGAUUUUCUGUUCCCAACAGAGCUCCACCUCCAGGCUUUUCUUCUCAUGAGAGGAUGGACCAGAUCUUUGAUACCAUAUCUGGGAGUCAUUUGUUCGACUCUUCUUCCAUGCUGAGAAAUUCAUAU
rnacentral:misc_RNA from 1 species